rnacentral:lncRNA from 1 species
GGUAGAGUUCACCACUGACUUUACCUCUCUGUAAGCCGAUCAGACAGACAGACAGACGGACGGGCGGGCGUUGUAAUAAAAGCAUGGGUGCAAUGGGAGCAGCUGGCAGCCAUCUUCCAGCUGCUGAAGGAGAACCAGGAGACAUUUGGGGAGGUGUCAGAGGGAGACGUGGAGGAGCGACUCUACUCCAUCUAAACCCCUAGUCUACUCACAGUCGACUGUACUACGUCUAACUCUACUUUCCCCAAACUCUACUCUAUGUUAAUCCCACAUAAAGCUCACAAUGAAGAUUAAGCUAUUCCCUGCCUUGCCUCGGCCGUAUCCUUAUCUCGUCCAUUGCUAUCUCUCCUCAACCUUUCCCAUGGAGCACCCUUUCCCAUGGAGCACCCUUUCCCAUGGAGCACCCUUUCCCAUGGAGCACCCGUUCCCAUGGAGCACCCUUUCCCAUGGAGCACCCUUUCCCUCUAGACGCCUCUGUUUGAACAAACACAUCAUUGGUGCGAACACAAACAUGUACAUUAGAUACUCCAACACGGCUUCUGCUGUUUAUUACUUUUAUAUACCAUUCAAAGCAAUAAACACUGUGUAUUUGAUACAAGUAAUGGCGUCAUCGUUGUGUCAAUUCUGGAUUUUGUCGUCUCCCCUGUAUGUGCAAGUGUGUGGCUGGCAAUGUAAUCUGACUAAAUGUCUGUAA